UAAGCGGAGGAAAAGAAACUAACAAGGAUUCCCUUAGUAACGGCGAGUGAACCGGGAAGAGCUCAAAUUUGAAAUCUGGCGUCCUCCGGGCGUCCGAGUUGUAAUCUAUAGAAGCGUUUUCCGCGCCGGACCGUGUAUAAGUCUCCUGGAACGGAGUAUCAAAGAGGGUGACAAUCCCGUGCUUUACACGACGACCGGUGCUAUGUGAUACGUUCUCUACGAGUCGAGUUGUUUGGGAAUGCAGCUCAAAACGGGUGGUAAACUCCAUCUAAAGCUAAAUAUUGGUGGGAGACCGAUAGCGAACAAGUACCGUGAGGGAAAGAUGAAAAGCACUUUGGAAAGAGAGUUAAACAGUAUGUGAAAUUGUUGAAAGGGAAACGAUUGAAGUCAGUCGUGUCCAUUGGGUUCAGCCGGUCCUGCCGGUCUACUCCCUUUGGACGGGUCAACAUCAGUUCUGACCGGCGGAUAAUGGCACGAGGAACGUGGCACCCUCCGGGGUGUGUUAUAGCCUCGCGUCGCAUACGCUGGUUGGGACUGAGGAACGCAGCUCGCCUUCAUGGCCGGGGUACGCCCACGUACGAGCUUAGGAUGUUGACAUAAUGGCUUUAAACGACCCGUCUUGAAACACG
rnacentral:rRNA from 1 species